UGGAUUUUUAUCAGUGAAGUGUUAAUUCAAGCAGUGAGCAUAAAGGAAUAGUGAAUAAUUCAAAACAAAACAAGCUGAACUCUAAACAUCUGAAUCCUCAAAAACUUUAUUAAGAGGAAGGCAGUAGCCAAGUGAAGCAGCUGGAAUCACACUGAAGUCACUCUGAACUCUACAGAUCACUUCGUUCUUCCUUCUGCUACAGAGAGCACAUCCCUGACUUACAGCGUACUUUCUUCUGAAGAACUUAAGAAGGAUAAGAACAUCAUUAUUCAGAAUAGUAACAGUCAUGCAGAAUUAUAAAGAAUUCCUUAUGAGCUGAGCUGAAAGGUGUGUGCAUUUCCCCUACUAUCAUGAAGUAAGUUGGAGUGAUGUGAAUCUAGUGAUCUACGUGGAUAAAUUUAGCUAUCUAGCUAAAACUACAUGGAAUAGUGUUUUCUAGGAAACAACAAGAUUUAAAACUUCCUAUAUGAGCAUAUAAUAAGCAGGGCUGAAUUCCACCUCCUGUUCAGCUGUAGUGAUAGCCAUCAUUGUCCCCUUUAGCCUUUUUAAAUGCUAUCUUGCAAACUCAAACAAAAUACCAGAACUCUUUUUUGUAGCUUUAUAGAAGAUGCAUAGAUUCACUAAGAAUUAAGGUGCAUUCACAUUCUAGCUGAAUAAAAUUUUCUUCCUGAAUAACUCCACAUUUAAAUUUUUCAGUCUGUAGUCUGUUCUUAGAUAUUUUUGUGUGUGAAUAAUUCCACUAUUCCAAACAGUAAAUAGAUAUUUCUGCAGAACACUGUGGUCUGUUGAAUGCUUUUGUUACUGGCUUUUCUGUUCAUUUUAUCUUGUGGAAUGUGCCAGCAGUUCUGAUGUCUCUCUCACUGCGGUUGCUGGUUGUCUGGCUAAUUUUCACUCAUUAUUUCUAAUAAUGGUUUGAUUUGUCUUCAUUCAAUCUGAAGCUAGAAGCUUCGUAAGAGAGCAGAGCUGCAUUGUUGCUGGCUUUGCAGAGGAGAACUGAGCUGGAGGAACAGUUUCUCAUGGCACGUUACCAGAAGAAACUGCUGAGACUGGGGUGGGCAGUACACAAGAGACAUAUGGUUUUAGAAAGGAAGAUAUCAUCAUGCAUGGAUCAUCUCUCCAACACUCUUUGCUACUUCUACAGUGUGCUCGAAGUUCCUGACACAAAAAGAAAAACUCCUCAAAGCUUUUGCUUCUAUGCUCUUAUUUUCUGUGUUCCAGAUGCCAUGGGCUUGGAAACACGAGAUUAAAAAAAACAACACAUCAGGCUAUGACUGCUCUCUUCCAGAGAUAGCUUCUACUGGCUUGUUGCAGCUCUUUUUCACCUGCCCACUGCUUUACAGCAUUAUAUUUCUUUAGAGUAUUCUUUUCAUUGGUGGGCCCAAUGACAAAUUAACCUGUUUCUAUAACCCAGGUUUGGUUUCAGGAGUAUCUACAAAGGCGAGCACUCCAGAAGACUCCAGACUUUGCCAGGAACUUUAGCUCCCAAAGAGUAUCCAGAUUCCAGUAUCUACUGUUAUUCUUAUGCUUUUCUAACCCUAAAAAUCAUUAAGAGUUGUAGAUGCAGUUUUAACAUAUUUAUAGCCAUAGGCCAUCUCAUACCCAGGUAUACUUGUAUAAGAAUGGAAGCCAAACAAAUUAAAUUUUCCAUGGUUAGCCUAAUGUUUAGUUAUCUGUUUACUUCUUUUGACUUGAGUUUUCUUUGUUUGCUUUUUUUUAAAAUGUCAAUCAGGACACCACUUGCAGAGAAACGUGCACAAUCUAAUGGACAAUGAAUGCCAUUUUUAAUUUCACUUCUAGAAUUAUUGAUUAGAUCACAGGAAGAUCUUCCAGGGGGACAGGGAGCAACAUAUUCCUAUCUCUGUUAACUUCACUUGUCUUCUUCCAAACUUCAUCUCUUUCUUUCUUCCCUAAUAUCUCUCUCCUGUCCCUUUCUGACACUUCUCAGAAGAAAUCAGAAGAAAUAUUUCAAGAAUUAUAAGACACAGGUGUGAAGAACCAGCACCUUUUCCCUUUAUCCACAACAUUUAUUUGCCUCUUCAUUGCUUUGGCAAGGUCUAGAUUCUACCUUCUUCUUUUUCUUUGAAUCUACUGUUUGGCUUUAGGCAAGUUAGUUCUGUUCCUUUCCCUAUUUCUUUGUGUCUCUUUAUGCUGUUUUAAUUAUAAACAAGGCAGGAAUUGUCUCUCAUUAUGUGCUUACUGUGCCUAGAUGCAGUGAGGCUUUGAUCUCCAAAGGCUACAGCCUUUGAAUGCUUUUCCAACAUAAAAUACUUGCCUCUUUCUGCAAGUGUGAGCCUGGCACAGCAAGUUUUGAUCUCUUUUGAAGCUACCUGGUUGAGAGACAAAACUGUGAAUAGAAAGCCCCUGAAGCAUUAAUGUAAUACCAUUUUCAACACUCCCAUUUCUUCUUUCUGGUCAUCUUUCGAAAAGCUCAGCCUCAUAUUGUUCAAGUGAGAUGUUUCAUAAUUGUUAAGAACCAUUGUCCUUUUAAUAGAAGUAAGAAAGAUGUUUCUCAGUGUCUUAAACUCUUACCGGAGUGUAUUGUGCCACAUCUCAUGAGUCUAAUUCCAUGUGACAUAAAAGUGAUAUGCAAAAGUAAUGUAGGAAACCUGUAAAACCAGUAUUUCCAAACUUCUAGUUUAAUACCUGAAUCAGAUGCCAUCUAUUCUUACCAAUGCUAGAGAGCGUUCCCUGUACCACAUUAGGGAAAUAUAUAAAUACCCAGUCCUCCCGAAACUGUUUUACUAGUAUGGUGGGGGCUUUGGGGGUUGUUUUUUUUUUUUCCCUUCAGUUUUUCCAGAAUAGGGACAGUGCUUAUUUUAGACUUGAGCUUAAAGUUAAAAGAAAAUAAGAAUAAAUAAGAAUCUUUGUAUGAGUACUAGUAGUACACAGUGAUUCUAUUACAAGUUCUGCUCCAGAAGUAAUGCCUCCUAUUUUAUUGUGUUGGCCCACAACAUCAGAGGUGGGUAUUGAUGGUAUGGCAGUAGAGGUUGAACCUUCCCACCUUCAUAAUGGCUGUUUUGUAGAGAUUACAGUAACCCUUUACACUCAAAAGAAUAUCAAAAAAGUUAUUUAUACUUCUAGCUGUAUUAACAGAGGGGAAUGAGAGCAAGAGCUGACUGCACAGUUAUGAGGUCGUCUCCUCCCAGUGCAUAUCUCAAGGAAUGUCAAUGUCAAGUCAGUAAGAACUGGCUGCACAGUUAUGAGGUCGUCUCCUCCCAGUUCAUAUCCCAAGGACAUCCAAGUUCUUGUGUUUUCUUUAUAGACUGUAACCUUAGUGCAUGGGAUCUACAGGAAAAUAGAUCAAUUUUUACCAAAUGCAGUUGCUGGUUCUAGAGACUUUUGGGUUACCUGCUUAUGGAAAUAAGCUGCUCAAUGGCAGCAGUUGUCUGGAUGAUUUGUUAUAUUCAAACCAGAGUUACUGUAGAUACUUUUCCUAUUACAGAAGCAUUUUUUUUUAGAUACAGAGUAGGAUUUUCCAUUUGUUGUUUAACAUUUCUGUGGCAGCAGAAGCCUGUGUCUGAAAUCAUUGUUUUACCAGUAUUAACUGCGUCUGUUCUACGAGUUAAUCUCACUGCAAGAUUCACUUUGUCUGUACAAAAUGUUAUGAGACUAUUAUCUGGUCAGAUGACUUCAGUACCGCAGAUGAAGUGGUGUAUUAUGACUAACAGUAUCAUGUUCGGCCUUGCUUAAAUACAGUUGCUUUUGGCAUAAGUUUUAGAAGAUGUCUAGCUAGGACAUUGCAUAUGCAUUUCUAAUGCUGUUUCAGUGAGAGGCAUGAUGGAGAAUGAUGAUUACUUACACUCCUGUCUUAUCUGCUAGAGCAAAUCUAUAUCUGUAUUGUGUCUUGAAAAUGUUUCCAGUACAUAUCAUACCAUCAUGAUCCAUUCAACCUGUUGAAUUCACAACAGCAUACAAAGUCACUUUGUUACUGUAUGUCUACUGACCAUUAGAACAACUGUGCAUUUUUGUGGAAGAGAAAACACACAGAAAAGUAGAAUCAAGGCUUGUGUGUAUACCAGAUAAAACAACCAGUUUCCUAGAAGCUUUGUCUGCAGGGUCAGAUUUAAGCUUAAAUUAUACCAUAGCUAUAAUUUAAUCUUGUCAUAUGGGUAUACCAGACACCUCUUGCUAUAAGAAUAUUUCCACAAGGAGGCAAGUGCUCAUCUUACAUACAUAGUUGGCUGACAGUUUGUAAUCUCACCAGUAUUGUCUGUUAACUUUAGGAUUUUUACUUAUGCCUUUGUAAAAUACUUUCCAGAAAUACAUUUUUCUAAACAAACUUGCUCAGCCAUCUGUGUUUAUCUGUGAAGUUCAAAACUACUAGAUGCAUUUCAUGUUUAUGUAUUUGAAGCUACAUACAUUCAAAUUUUGGCACCUCAAAAGCUUGAAGAUUUUUCAGAGAUUCUUUUUUUUCCCCUCACAAAUGAAUUCUGUAUCCCAAUAAACUGCUAAGACACAGCAUGACAAGCAGGCUUUGGGUGGCCUCUCGAAAAAGCUAGCUAUUCUCCAACAUCUAAUUCUUGCACAUGACAAAUGCUGAAGUGAAUCAAUCAAACAGGCUUUCCUGUAGCCAUACAUCAUAUAUGCAGAAUAUGAUAUGCUCAGAAUUAUUAAUGAAGACAUUAAAAGAAGGGGUUUCGUGUUAUAUGCCCUCUAUGAAACUAAGUAUUGAGACAGCAAGCUCCACAUACUAUAAUUUUCCUAUUAAGUCAGGGCCAGCCAUUGGGACCUCUGAAAUCAACUUAGCAGCCCAAAGGCUCUCAGCACUGUUUAUCACACUGCACAAACAGAUUCAGAGGUGGCCACUCAAAUAUUUGUUAACUUUUAACCAACACAGACAAUGAAUAAACUCUUCCCUUGGACGUAUCUGUAAAUUUUUGGUGAGGGAGAGGCUGCAUGGGCUGCAGCCCAAACAUGUGGCAUAAGUUACCAGUGCAAUUAAACUGGACCCUAACUUGCAUGGUUGCCCAGAGAACUUUGAACCCCUAGGAAGACCUUACAUUGAGCGAGGUGGAAGGAAAUAGUGACUGUUUUGUUUGUCUUCUCCUAUUUUAGGCUGAAAACCCAGACUAAUUUCAUUCCAAAGCCAUUCCACUAACCUCAGGGCUGAGGCAUGGCAAGGUCAAGCAACUUCCCUUGGUCAAAGAGAAUGCAUACAGCACAGCCAGGAAUAGAGUCCAUAGACCUUGUACCAUGUCAUAACUGCAAGGCCCUUCUUACUGUGACAAAAGUUAUUCUUUUGUGAGCAGGUUCAGUCAUCUGUCUGAGUUGUCAGUAUGGCACACCUUCCUAGAAUACUAUAAUGGUGGCAGAGAAUACAAAAUUCAGGUACUUGUAAUAAAAAACUGAAUUUGUUAAUUCAGAUCUUAUUCUGCAUUUCCUCCCUGAAAUGCAGAGAAAGGCAUUGCAUAUGAUGCAUAGUAAAAUUUCUUCCCAGCAGCUCUUAGGCUUUAUGUUUUAGAUACAUUUAUUAACAAUAUUUGUUUCUUUGAACGUUCUGUCCUAGGAUCUGAAAUACAUUAACACUGAGCAUCAUCCUGUGAUACUCCUAUGAAGUCAUUUCAUAAUUGAUUUCAGUUUCACAGAAGGGCACAGGAAAUGAAUCCUCCUAGUCAAACAUUCUGAAGCCUAUUUGCUUAAAAUUUAACAACUAUAUUCGUAUAAUUAAGCAACUGAAUCAAGGAAACUCAGUUUUCAGAGCUGCUUGUGACCUCAGCAAACAGGAACAGACACCAGUCAAAGGACAACUGGUGAGCAUACACUUUACACAGACUGUGUACUAUUUAAAAAGAGGACAGGAUGAAGUCUAAACUUGGUUAUAUUCAUCCAAACGCAAUACAGCACUGUUCUGUAACCUGUAGCUGCCCCCAGGUCCUAUUGCCAGGUCUCUGACCACAUUUUCCUGUUUAUUAAGAAAUGCUUACAUUGAACUGCAUCAUCUCCCUCUCCCUUUCU
rnacentral:lncRNA from 1 species